rnacentral:rRNA from 1 species
UACGAAGGGGGCUAGCGUUGCUCGGAAUCACUGGGCGUAAAGCGCACGUAGGCGGCUUUUUAAGUCAGAGGUGAAAUCCCAAGGCUCAACCUUGGAACUGCCUUUGAUACUGGGGAUCUCGAGUUCGGGAGAGGUGAGUGGAACUGCGAGUGUAGAGGUGAAAUUCGUAGAUAUUCGCAAGAACACCAGUGGCGAAGGCGGCUCACUGGCCCGAUACUGACGCCGAGGUGCGAAAGCGUGGGGAGCAAACAGG